rnacentral:rRNA from 1 species
AUUGAACGCUGGCGGCAGGCUUAACACAUGCAAGUCGAGCGGGGUGAUGGUGCUUGCACUAUCACUUAGCGGCGGACGGGUGAGUAAUGCUUAGGAAUCUGCCUAUUAGUGGGGGACAACAUCUCGAAAGGGAUGCUAAUACCGCAUACGUCCUACGGGAGAAAGCAGGGGAUCACUUGUGACCUUGCGCUAAUAGAUGUGCCUAAGUCGGAUUAGCUAGUUGGUGGGGUAAAGGCCUACCAAGGCGACGAUCUGUAGCGGGUCUGAGAGGAUGAUCCGCCACACUGGGACUGAGACACGGCCCAGACUCCUACGGGAGGCAGCAGUGGGGAAUAUUGGAGAAUGGGGGGAACCCUGAUCCAGCCAUGACGCGUGUGUGAAGAAGGCCUUAUGGUUGUAAAGCACUUUAAGCGAGGAGGAGGCUCUUUUGGUUAAUACCCAAGAUGAGUGGACGUUACUCGCAGAAUAAGCACCGGCUAACUCUGUGCCAGCCGCCGCCGUAA